GAACGUCGUCCAGUCUACCCGAGCCACCGUGAGGGGCGGCGGACACCAUCUCGCUAACGGCAACGGCUCGCCCUGGGAGAAGGGCGUAUCUGGGAAUCGAGGCAAGAGUGAAUGAAAGUGUGAACAGAGAGAUUGCUUCCAGGCUUUGCCCUUGUGUUACAAAAAAAAAAAAAAAAAAUCUUGCUGCCACUGUCCUGUUGUCACGAAGCCAAAAGAUAACUGUCCUAGCUGCAAAAGUUUCUCUGAACAAAAGGCUGCUUUUGUUCUUUUUCUUUUUCCAUCUCUCUUCAACUACUUGAGUUGGAAAAGAGGAAAGAAAAUGGAGUUUUGAAGGAAUGCAUAUGGGAAUUGCAGACAAAAGAAGAAGAAAAAAACUAGAAGGAAAUACGUAAAAGGAUUUUUGUUGGAGGUUGUUAACAACAACAAAAAGAAAAAUGCUUGAAAAGCACCAGUAAGUUAUAAGAUUGUGAUGUGGAAAGGUAAUAUAGAAUUACAGGUUGUUUUCAUAGAUAACUGUGAUAAGGUUGUUCUGUUUAAACUACUUUCUUAACUGAGUUUAUGGCUGACAUAUUUAAAAUGCUAUAAAAUUCUUUGGGAUUCAUAUGAAGUUUUCUUUGUUUAGUCCUUUGUUCUGUGAAAUACACAAGACGAGCCUCUGUGUGUGUGUGUGUGUGUGUGUGCGCAUGUUUCUGAGAGGGAGCCCAAAGCUCUGGUUCUGUAUAGGAAUUCAACCCACAUCAAUUUUAUAGCUCAUCCCUGUGAAGAUGAGGUUUCUGUUGUAUUUAUUCUGUUUAUUCUGUUGUAUUUGUGAAUGUAUUUAUACCAGUGACAUGUUUUGUUUUGUUUUUCCUUUCUGUAAACUGUUCCAGACCAAACUUGCUCUGACAUUGAAUUCCAAAAUUCACAAUUAUUAUAUUAAUUGAACAUAAAAUUGGUCAUGGCCUGAGCAACACAGGGAACUUUCAGCGGUCGGCUGGCCAACUGAGGGCUGAAUCUUCCCACCUCUGCAGAAGUGCUGCUUAUGGCUAAAUGCAUUAGGCAUGAGAGCAAGCUCUAAUUCAUUCAUUCUUAUAUCAAGUUAAUUGUGAUAUUUCUGCCACUACUGAGUAUCAUAAGCCUUUAUAUGUUAUGUUUACUGAAUUCCUUGACAAUGAUCUAUCUUAUCUUACCUAUUUCUGUGAACUCAAGAGGUUCUCCGAAAAGCAGUUUGUGUUCCAGCCAGAUUAAUUGUGGGUGAGAAGGAAAAAUGGAUUUUAAGAUAAAUGAGUCUAAUUGUAUUACUGUCAUGUUUUGCAAAAUCUAUGCAAUAUUUCUGUUAGUUGAAUUUGAUGUAAACUGAAAGCUACUAAUCAAAUGGUCUAAGGUUCAAAAAAAAUUUUUUUAAUUUGACUCAUCCACCAGCCCUGCUUUGCCUUCACAGCAGCUGAAUCUUAAAAUCCCAGACAUGAGAUUUAAUGAAAGGAAUUUUGUUUUGCCAAUCCUGCAAGUGGCAAGGAGUUCCAAAGCAUCGGUUUGCAAUUCACCUUGGAAAUUUCCCAGCUAAAAGGGAUUAGUCUGGGGCAGUAGAUGGCUGACUCCCUCACACAUGACCGAAUAUCAUGUGACUUUGGUGAGGAUCCUGGGGUUUCCAUGGCUACUACUUUGUUCUUAAUCCAGCUAACUUACUUCCUUUUGAGUCUACAGAAGACCAAGAACAUGAUUGCUUGCAAGCUGUGGACUGCAUCUAUGUCAAGCCAUCCUGAUCUUAAAGAUGAACUGUACACAGAUGGAGGCAGCUUCAUGUAAGAUGGACAACGUAAGCUGGCUAUGGAGAAGUGACUGACCAUGCUCUUUCUCCAGGUAUCUCAGUCAGCACAGCUUGCAGAGCUCAUCACCUUCAAGGUAAUUUUUACACAACUCAUGGGGCCACUUGGAAAGAAAGAAGAUUUUAACAGUGGGAAACAAGGAAGUAAAAUAUGGGACACAGAUAUCAGAACUCUAGACUGCUGUUACACUACUAGAAGAGGUUGCAGUCAUCCAUAGCAGAGGUCACCAGAGGAAAAUGACCCAGUGACAAAGGGUAAUUGGAUGGCAGAUGCUGCAGUUAAAACUGCUGCUCCUUCUAUUCCUGUUUCCAAGCAUCUUUGAUUCCUGUGCUAACUAUCUUGGCACAACCCCCCCACAUAUUCAAAAAAAAAAAAGGACAUCGACUUUGCACCACAGCAGGGGGGCGCACUUAGAAGAGGAUGGCUGGUAAAGAACAGCAGAUGGAUGUGGAAUUAUUGCAGAACCAAUCCUUUGGUUUUUUUCCCUAGUCAAUACAAAGACACUUUUGUGCCUCUUGGAUGUACCCUUUUGCAGAACAUGUGGCAACAGCCUGUGUAAUUUGUGUAGUAAACAAUCCUACUUUACCAAGGUAUAGUAUCUCACUGGACAUACCAAGUCAGGUAAUGCCCAAGCUGUGGGUAAACAGAGGGCAGGGAUUGACUGUGGGCUAUCUUUUUCCUUGUCUCGAGAGGUUGUUUUCACUUUACAGAAAUGUCAAACCCAAACUUGAAUCCAUCAGUGACUGGUUAAUUAUGAGGCUAAAGAUGGAGAACUGGGACACCACAACUAUCUACACGUUACUGACGAUGAAGUCAGUUAUACUGGAUGGAGAUUGAUUGCCCUGACGAAGGACUGUAAGUAUGAUUGUCAGCCAACGUAGUGCAGUGGUUAGAGUGCUGGAUUAAGACCGGGAAAACCCGAGUCCAAAUCCUCAUUCAGCCAAGACACUUGCUGGGCGACACAGAGCCUACAACUCAAAUGAUUUGGCCUGCCUCACAGGGUUGUUGUAAAGAGGAAAAACAGGAUGCAGAAGAGAAUGUGAGAUGCCACAUGGAAACUGGACUUUGUUAGCAGUGACUGUGAUUGACCUGAAAGGCUUUAAUGCCUCCUCAAAACCCCAAACUCACAAGGGGGGUGAAAAAUGUGAAUGCCUUUUUUCUUUUUGACUUUAUUGCUUUGCUAUUGCCCAGGAUUGCUGUUUUGUUCUCGUGAUCAAAAACCAGCCUACAACACAAGCCAGCCAGCCUCCAAGAAGCACCGGCCCCCACACACAUCCUCACGCCUGGCCACCAAGCCUCAAAUGAAGACAUCAUCCCCUGUUCUGGUCUUCAGGGAAAGGGGGGGCCCAGGGCAAGCAGGAAAACAAAAAUAUAAAUUGGAAAAAGAAAAGAAAAAUGCCAAAAGACCAAAUUGAAAAUAGCCUCAGGUUUUAUCCAUCCUUUGUAUUAUUUGCCUUGAAAACUUGACUUUUCCUUUUGUGCUAACGGUUGGCACCCAGAGACUUAGUCUCAGGAUGCUGUCCCUACAUGGGGGGGAGGGAAUUGGCAACUCACUUGCCUGUCUUUCUCUCAAGUAAACAGGUUUGCAACCAACAGUGCCUUGAAUUGUCUUUCCAAGAAGGAUUGUUCCUCCCCAGAUCGAAGGAAUACCUGGAUCCAUCGCCAGAAUGUGAUCCCAAGGGAGUCUCCAUCAACAGUGACCCAGGAAAACUAACAAUCAGCAGCAGCAGCUACCUGGGGGCAGUCCCUAUCUGCAUUUCCAGUCCAACCCAAUGGUGACAGAACGUCUAUCUACUACCCUGUCCUGUGUUCGAGGAAGAAGGCCGAAUGCACAGUUCAUCUUCCUGCUUCCAAGUGUUAUAGGAGAAGGAUAGACAACAAACGCCUGAAGACUGCCUGAUAACAAACAAGCAAGCCAAUUUGUUCACUUUUCUGUGGAGUCAUACACGUAACAGCAUUUCCCCAAGCUGUAAAGCCCUGGAACCAUCCGAUUGCCCACAAGGGGAGGGAGUCAAGGCUCCCAAACACAUGAACAUUUAAGCUUGUCUGUGGACACUAGCCAAACAAGCCAAAACAACACGGAUCAGGAUAGCCAAAAUCCUGCAACGUUUUACAAGAGCAUUUGGUUCUCAACUGAAGGACUAAAAUAUAUUUUUCCUUACCAAGGACUUUUAGAUUUUGAAUUCUAAAGCUCUCCAUGGCUUCCUUUUUGGCCAUGACAGACUUUAGAGGACACUAAGGGGGGUAGGAGUUGAUGAUUUGCACCACUUUCUUAUAUUACUUUCUUGUAGUGACUAUGUGCUAUCAUUAUGUUGAAAACCUUGCUAUCUCCUGUGCUGUAAGGUCAUGGACCUCACAUGCUUGCUCUCCAGUCAUUUCCUUAUUGUUUCACUUAUAUAUUGUGCCAAUCAUCUCAUUGUUUCAACCAGAGCAUUUACCUGCAAGUCUGCACCUAUCCCCAAGUUACUGAUCCCUUUAUGCUCUAAGACAUUAAGCUGGCCCAAGCCUUACCUAAAAUUUUAUAGACACUUGUAUUAAUCAGUGUGAUUAUACAUGACUUGUCAUUGCUAUCGCUUUCCACAAGCUGAUAACCCAUUAAUCACCAGAAGCAUCUGGUUCCACAAUGCAAGACUGUUAUUUAUACUUUAUUUGGGAUAAAGAUGGGUUAAAAUCAUGUUGCUUGCUAUAAGUUGUAUGAUCUUUAUAUGUACACUUUGCUGUUAUGUGUAAAAUUUUUAUAUAUAUAUAUCAAAUCAUGCCAGAUAUGGGUGGUUAAGGAUAUGUGUGUGUGAUGUAUAUGAAAAUUGCCACUGAAGAAUUAAGGAGGCUUGAGGAAGAACCUUGAAUUUUAUAAUUAGAAGGUUCUUAAGGGGGGAGAUGUGACAUGUGUAGCAUUAAUAGAAAGCUGCUUUGUAAUUGCUUUGUAGAAAGUGUGUUUGCAAGUCAGUGCCUCUGUGGGAUGGAAAAGUACAGACCAAACGAAAGUGUUAAGUCAGCUAUCUGCCCAGAGCAGAAUAAGUGGGGGUUUGCAGCAGCGGGGAGAGAUAGGCUCCCCUGAAUAGUAACUGCAUUGUUCUAGGAAUGUGAAGGCUUCUCCUAUUAAUUAAUUAUCUCUCUGCUGUGAAAUAGAAACUCAGAAACUUAGAGCGCAAAGUCCAGCCUCUAUGCAAGCAUAUGUACGAAUGUAAUGAACUGAUUGGUCCUUUGGGGCUGAAUGUUGAUGCCUAGGGGUGGAGGAAAAUCUUUAUAAACUCUUGUUAGUCUGUAAGAGGUACGCUCCUUGGACUUUUGCCAAAAGGCACCAGGGGUCGUCCUCAGCGCUGAGAAAUAAACCUUUGUCUCUUUCA